CCUACGGGUGGCAGCAGUGAGGAAUAUUGGUCAAUGGACGAGAGUCUGAACCAGCCAAGUAGCGUGAAGGAUGACUGCCCUAUGGGUUGUAAACUUCUUUUAUAAAGGAAUAAAACGAGGCACGUGUGCCGUUUUGCAUGUACGUUAUGAAUAAGGAUCGGCUAACUCCGUGCCAGCAGCCGCGGUAAUACGGAGGAUCCGAGCGUUAUCCGGAGUGAGUGGGUGGAAAGGGAGCGUAGAUGGGUUGUUAAGUCAGUGGGGAAAGUUUGCGGCUCAACCGUAAAAGUGCAAGUGAUACUGGCAGUCUUGAGUACAGUUGCGGUAGGCGCAAUUCGUGGUGUAGCGG
rnacentral:rRNA from 1 species